GCAGGGGCGGCAGUGACGGAUUUGACAAACGCUGCAGUCGGGGCACUGGGCAAGAGAGAACUCUCCGCUGAUAAACGGGGCUUCUGGAGUGAUCUCAAACACGAGGUGGAGAACGCAGCACACCAGGUCGGACACAAUGUGCAGGGGCGGCAGUGACGGAUUUGACAAACGCUGCAGUCGGGGCACUGGGCAGAGAGAACUCCGCUGAUAAACGGGGCUUCUGGAGUGAUCUCAAACACGAGGUGGAGAACGCAGCACACCAGGUCGGACACAAUGUGGAGGGGGCGGUAGUGACGGCUUUGACAAACAAGGCAGUCGGGGCUGUGGUUGGCAAGUGAUGAACUCAAGCUUAGAGUUUCCCGGAGCUGGGAGUGGAACACAGUCACAGAACACAGAGAUAUAUUUCUAAUAAACAUGUUUAUGCCACUUUUAA